AUUAGCGUUUAGCACUCAAAAUUACGAGUGUACCUGAAUGCCUCAAAUGAGAAAGAGGAAAAAGACAACGCAGCAAGUUGUUCAUUGCUCUGUGUGCAUCAUAUCAACAAUUGAAGCAGCUGAAGCUUUCAUUCUUCAGGGACGUGUGCGCCGACCGGCAUUUCACUUCAGUGUAAAAUCAUCUGGAAACAAUGCGGAGCCAUGAGGAAAUAACGGGCAGUCCGGAAGAGACCACUGCAAGGCCGGGGUGGCGGAGGGAGGCGUGGCCAGUGUGCACGGCUUUGGGGCAGUCUGGCGUUAGAACACGGCCAUUCUCCCCCACGCUUCCUGUGAUGGAAAGACGGGCCUUGUUUCGCAUGGCUUCAGAGAAUGACAGCUAAAUGAGGAAAGAUAAAACUAGGUUGUUAAAAAUUUAGUGGGUACUUAGUAAAUCCUGUAUCAAAGACACAACAACACGUAAACAUUCAUUUCAAUAGGCAUGCAUGGGUCUCCACAUAUAUUACACAUGUAAGCUAGUAUAAAGUUGGGAAAAAGUGCAGUCACACCAGUUCAACUCAACUCUGCUUGCCCCGUUUUGGUGUGGGUGGGUUCCCACUUUGAAACAGUACCAAAGCUAAAACACAACAGGCGAAACUAACAGUACCGUAUAUGUUUAUUAUUAAUAUCUUUUCUAGUCAUCCAUCCAUUUUCUGGAGCGCUUAUCCUAAUAAGGGUCGCGGGCAUGCUGGAGCCUAUCCCAGCUGUCUUCGGGCGAGAGGCGGGGUACACCCUGGACUGGUCGCUAGCCAAUCACAGGGCACAUAUAGACAAACAACCAUUCACACUCACAUUCAUACCGAUGGAAACCGAAGUACCCGGAGAAAACACGGGGAGAACAUGCAAACUCCACACAGAUAUGCCCGAGCAGGGAAUCAAACAUAUGUCUCCGCGGUAACCACUCAACCACCAUGCAGCCUCAUUUCUACUCAAUAAUUGCUUUUGUACAUGCAGAAAACAAUGUAAAAUAAUCAAUGAAAUAUAAUAGUGUUUUGAAUCUUUUUUAUCAAAUUGGCCCCAUGGUGGGUUAUUUUUUUGUUUGGCAUGUAUGUUUUGUCAUACAUGCAAUAUUGUCCAAAAAAACCUACGUACAAUUUGGGCAAAAGGUUGAGACGAAAACCGACUCGUACGAAAACUGCGAUUUUGGUUUGGCUGUAGUACUUGGAUUUGCCAGUAGUGCCAGUAGAGAGUAGAUUAGUAGGUACCGUGCAGUGGAAAAGGGGCAUCACAGUUUUAAGUAACGUAAGCCACACAAAAACAAAAGUUUAAAUUUGAAUUUUAGAAUUUGAUUAAUUUUGGCAUUAAUUAUUAUUAUAUCAUAUUUACAUAUUUAAUGCAUAACAUAACACAAAACUGAUUUGUACCAAUGAUAGAUUUAUCAAGCAGAAUUCCUGGUGUGACUGCACCCCCCCAAACGAUGGGUCUCAUAAAAGGGGUGUCACACUGCAAAGCAAACAUAUUCAAUAAAUGCAAAACUGCAAGGCAAUACAGACAAGUAGACAGAAGGAUUUGCAUUGUAGACAUCUGCAUUUCAUUAGCGUCCAUGCAAUUCUGUGGAGGAUUUGUACUUGAAGUGAUUCCAAAAUUGGUAAAAGUGAGGAUUUGAGAAAGACAAAAGAAAACAGGAAGGAGAAAAUUAUUUUUCAGGGAUUGGGAUUUAUAGAGAGGGAGUCAGUCACUAUACUGCUCACAGUAGGGGGGGCGGACACUUCAUAUGUACAUGCUACUUUAUGAUGUUUGCGAACUGAGUGAAGGCAGUCUGAAUUGUCAGCCUCCACGUGCAACUCCUUCAUAGAUUAGACCUUCCAAAACCAGUGGGUAGAAAUAUUAAAUAUACCAAAAAGAAAUAUUCCAACAUGGGAUAUUUACUUUUAUCAACGCUAACACUAAAAUGGUCUUUCUUGUAUAGCGUUUUUCCACCUCCAGGGUACUCAAAAGGUUCAGUAUCUUGCCCAAGGGUACUUCGACAUGAUCACAGGAGGUCUGAGGAUUGAACCCUCAACCUUCAGGUUGGCAGACGGCAACUUUUACCACCUGAGCCAUGCCAGGAAAAGUGAAAAACAACAAAUAAUAGAACUAAUAAUAAUAAUAAUAACAAAUAAUAGAAGCAAAAUCUCAGGGUCAACGUGGAUUGGUGCACUUCCCUGUGAUUGGCUGGCAACCAGUCAAGGGUGUGCUUCGCCGAUUGCCCGAAAACUGGGAUAGGGAUAGCUGGGAUAGGUUCCAGCAUGAAUGAAUGAAUGAUUGGUGCACUCCCGCUUGCCACACAUACAGAACUUUGUGUUGGCGUAGUGUGAGUACUGUCCACUCAAAGUGUAUUAAAACUACAGCGCUAUUGGUGGACUAAUGAUUUGAUACAUUUACAUUCAAGAACUUGCACUAGCCACUCUACUACUAAGAAACAUCAUUAAAUAGCUGUACUACAUGAAGUGUUUAUCAGUUUUUUCCAGCAGCGAUGCUAAGUAACGGGGCUGUUUUCAAGAUGUCAGGGCUGAAUUAUGUGAGGGAUGCACAACUCCACUUUAUGAACGCAUAAAAUGAGACAAACGAUGCUGGCUUUAAGCGACCACUGCUAUGAAUUUAUAAAAGCACUUCUGUAUAUAUGUGGCCAUUUGAACGAUACCGCUGCGGUGAUAUCUGCCUCCCUCUCCUGUCCCCUGCUGGCCUGCACUCACACUGCACCACAGCAUUAGGGUAUGUUGAUGUGCCAUGACUUCAGUAUACAAUGCUGUUUUACUGCAAAUUCCCCACACCUUGUGAGUGAGUAUUUGGCUUACAUUUGAUUUUCUAGUGGGAAUGCAUUUCCCCUCUGGCAUGUUUACACAAGACAAUUUAGAAAUGAAAAGCAAUUUAAAAAACGGUGUUAUUUUGGCAGCCGGUUUACAUCACAACAAGUUAUAAAAUGGUCUCAAAAGUACAAUAUUAUUAUUUCUGGCUGGCAUACAGCAGUGUUUUAGUGGGUUUGUUGUACAUGACAUAUUUCAAAGAAAAACCUUUCCUGUUUUUUUUGUUUUUUUUUUUACUUGACAUGGUUCUAUUGUAAUUGCUGAUGCUUGUGAAGUGAACCCAGUGGCUCCAAUGUAAAAAUAGCCAGCAAGACAUCUUACAGGCUUCUAUCGGAUCAGUGCUGAAAAUGUUGGAGUGAGAAGUUAGAACUAAUGGAAGCUGCCAUACUCACAGAAGCUAAUUAAUUUGUAGCUGGAAGCUGACAUGUUUUAAUGAGAGGAAAGCCAUGUAUAAAACAUUGAUGGCAGGAUAUUCGUGUAAAGAAUAUACUGAAUCGAGUACUCAUUUACAAUAUAUGCUUGAAACAUAAGAGUGAUUUUUUUUUCAUAAAAUUGCCAGCAUGCAGUAAUGAAGUUGUGCAUCCCUAUGCCAUAGUUUUGUUCAUUAUUAAGAGUACAAUGCAGUUGCCUUGUCAUGUUAUUAGCGAUGAGCAUCACCGUCAUCAUCAUUUUCAGCAACAUCAUCAUCAAUUCCAGCCAAAGACGAUGGAACCAAAUCUAGCAGAACCAAAAAAAAAAUUAAAAAUGCCAUUAAAUAUGAUACACAUAAGCCAAAAUAAGCCAAAAUGGUCCAAAAUAAGGUGAUUGGUUCCACAAUGCUUGGCUGCAUGUAUUCAUGAGCAGAUGAAGAACAACAUGGUUCUGCGAUGACAGCCUCUGGCAUGAACAAAAACAUGGACAGCACCACUACGAUGACCACCAUCAUGAGCCCACCUAGACGGCAGCCUCUAAAUCCUACCCCUAGAUCUUGACCCCCUCGGAGCCGUACACGUUGUACCCCUCCCUAUAAGUGGCUAGAUUCUGGGUGCUGGGGGAGGGGCUGGGGCAGUGGGGGGGGCUAAGGUCCACCUUCAUACGCUUGGCCUCGGCUCGCGACUUGUAACAGAACUCGACCAGCGCCACAAGCAUGGCGAGGCCCAGGCCGCCCACAAGGAUGUAGAAGACCCCGGCCACGUUAGACAGGCUCAGGGCUUGGGACGACUUGUCCUGUGGAGAGCAGGCAAAGAGGGUCGGGGGGUCGAGGAUGGAGGAUGUUGUUCAUGGGUAUUAGGAAAGAACGAGAAGGAAAGAAAAAAUGAAAGGACGAGAGAAAGAAGAAUCAGAGAGAGAG